ensembl:snRNA U1 U1 spliceosomal RNA
CUGGCAGAGGAGUCAUCAUGAUCAGGCAGGUGGCUUUCCCAGAGCGAGGCUCAUCCUUUGCACUCUGGAUGUGCUUACCCCUAAGAUUUCCCCAAAAUGCAGGAAACUCAACUGCAUAAUUUGUAGUAUGGAGGAUUGUGUUUGCGCUCUCCCCUG